GAGGGAGGUAGAGUUUACUGAGAGACUAACGCAAUAAUGGCAUGGGAAUAGUGGAAGUGACCUAGGAAUUGCAAGAUCAGUUUAACUUUUCAAGUUUUCUUUUCUGAAAUUUCUGAGGUGAGUGAGGAUGGGGAAGAAAAGAUGUUGAAGAAAGCUCAGCCCCAGGGAAUUUGGUUUGGAAGGCAGUAGCUCUACAUAUGAAUCUUCAUCUGUAUGAUCGCUAAUGGUGCAGGAGAAAUUUGGAACGAUGCAGAAGUCUGCGGGAUCUCGGGAUGCUAAUGCUGAAACCUGGCAUCCUAUAGUCUCUGGAAAUUAAUGUGCAGAGAUCUGGUGUCCUGCUUGUGUGUUUCAAGUGGAGACAAUUUUGAGUGCCUGGCUUCUAAGUAUAUUUUGACUGAGACAACUUCGGUGUAACAGUUUGAUUCUUGUCUCAAGUUCCUGAAUUUUCUCACAUGGAUAGAAUCCAUAGGUAAGGAAAACUCUAGGACAAUGUUGUGAAGGUUGGUUAGUUUUAAGGUCUAGGAACUGA
rnacentral:lncRNA from 1 species